rnacentral:rRNA from 1 species
AUGUACUUGCGACCGGAAACAAUUUCGUCGUAUAAUUGUAUUUUUUUAGCUCUACUGUAUGUAUUUCCAUAUUUGAGCGAUCGCUGGUCGCACAUGACCUCAUUUUGCCGAAUGUGCGUGCCAGGAGGGCAUAUCCCUGACAGUUUCUGGGUCGUGUGGGAAGAAAUCCCCUAUCACCCACACUCACUUGGCGACGGUUCCAAAUGCCUUCGCGGAAAGGGGUUAAAAACCGUUCAUUUAGGAGCUCACUGUACUAGUGUAUGUACUAGUACACUACUAGGGAAAACCUUAUACACAGAAUCUUAG